GUGAUUAGCGUCCCGGAAUUCAAUAGAGCGCACGACCGCACAGGCGGUUACUAUGUGCGGGUACAGUUACACCUG
rnacentral:misc_RNA from 1 species